CCGUAACAUCCGAUGGGGAAUCCAGCUUUUAAUACGCGCUCGAUGCGUACAGAGGCAGCAUGCAUACACUCUCAAUACCUAGAACAGACUUGCCCGCCGCCGGAGCCACGAUGAUCGCCGUGUGCUUUUUGUUGGCGUGCUUGGGGGCAGCUCUGCAGCCAACGUCGGCCGCCGAGGAUGGAAGGGGUGGGAUCUUGCAUAUCCCUUCCGCUGCCGACCUGGCUCGGGCUCGCUGCCCUUCCAGAUGCGGCGGUGUUGCCCUUCACUAUCCGUGGGGGAUAGGGCCGGGCUGCUUCCGGCAAGGCUUCGAGCUCACGUGCAACAACACCACUAGUCAUAAGAAGCUCUUUCUGGCAAGGCUUCGAGCUCACCUGCAACAUCACCGCAGGUUAUAUGAGGCUCUUUCUGCCCAACACUACCACUGAGAUCCUUGAGUUACCUCCUGGAGAUACUUUGCUUCGGGUCCCUCCUAUCCACUUCAACGUCCCCAUGAAACCAGGUAUGACCGACACCUAUAACAUGUCAUGGGAGGUCCCUGUUAAAGGUGUUAUGAUCUAUGGAGGAGAAUCUAGCUUGUUCGUUGUUGGUUGUGGUGUGAGUGUUUACUUGUUUGGCCAUGAUACCGACGACCCCAUCGGUAGUUGCAUGAGUAUUUGCCUCGACGACAAAGUGGCCAUGAAGGAGGCAAAUGCAAACAACUUCAAUGGCGAUGGUGGGAUGGGAUACUGUUCCAUCCGUUUGCAGCGGGACGUUCCAGCAUUCGGGUUGGUAGUUGACCGCCUCAAAGGCGCAUCUGCACUAGCAGGUCAAGGUCAAGGGCUCUCUAAUAGUAGUAUCAAAGUUUUCUUGGCGGGAGAUUACAAAUUUCAUACGGUUGACAUCUAUUCAAGUAAGAUAGACGAACGAAAUGUUGCAUGGCCAUAUUUUAGCAUGGCCAUCACGGAUCAACCAAACUGUGAAAAUGCUCGGAAUAACAAGUCAAGCUAUGCUUGUAGCCAUUACAGCGAUUGCCUGGAUAUGCUGCCAUCUGGAGGCUACGCCUGUUUCUGCCGCAGUUACACAAACGACGGCAACCCCUACCUUAUAGAUGGUUGUGAACGACCAGGUCAGCAAUCUACUCUUUAAUCAGUAAUAUAAAAAUAUUGAACUGCCAUGUCAUGAAUAUUGGACUCAUAUAUGCAUCAUUGAAUAUUAUGGUAAUUUUUGCACCAAGACUGUAACUUUUCUCUCCUUCUCUAUGCUCGUCAUCAUUUUUUAUAGAAUUUUUUUGCUUACUAGUUUAAAUAAAAUUAGUUCUACAUACAACAAAUCAGACAAUAAUUGUUUCUUGCCCAAAACUCAAAAUUGCAAAUCAUAGAGGUUGGAAACUUAGGACACGUCUUUUCUUCAGAAUCUUUUGACACAUUCGGAUAUACUAAUGUUAUUGAUAUAUUGUUUACUAGUGCCACAUGGGGUAACUUAACUCCCAGUUAUCAUAUUGUCUCUACUAAUGCAGAAUUCUAACAAGGUGUUAAUAAGACUUAUGUUGCUUUUGGUACUCCCUCCGUCUCGGUGCAUAAGGCAUGCUCGUAGUUCUAGAUCGUCAAUUUAACUUGGAACAUUUGUGUUAUAUGUAAUAAAAAAUAUAUUUAGAAAAUACAUUUGCAUAUGAAUCCAAUGAUAUACUUUUGAAGACAUAUAACAUUGUUUCAGGUUGAUGCAACUACCUACUUUAAUAAAAUGGUUGUGCGCAUUGCUUGAUGCGGAGGUGGGGAUAAUCCUUCUUUUAAAAAAACACGGUUUUAGGUAGUCAAAUCAAGGACCCAGAACUACACGCAUGACCUAUGCACCGAGAUGGAGGGAGUAGUAUCCACCCAAUUGAUGAGAUUGGUUUUCCACAAGUAGUGUACCUCUUUUCUUUAUAAUGUUUUAGCUGGCAAUUAAACAUGGUAUUAUUAAUUAAUGAUUUAAUAAGUUGUAUAUCCAGUCUAGAUAGGAUGACCAUUAAUUCGCAUAAUCUUAACGUAACUUCUCGUGUGGCAGUCUCCUAGUGUGACUUCUUCCUAUGUCAAUCUACUUGCAGCGCAUUACAAUCCCAAUCAAAAAGGCGGUUGCACCAAAUUUUGCGGGAACACACAUAUUCACUUCCCUUUUGGGCUUGAAAAGGGUUGCUACGCUGCUGAAAAGUUUCGACUUAACUGUACAUUAGACAACAUCACAAUUCUUGAUCGAGGGGUUGACAAUUUUGAUGAUGGGGCCAAAUUUAUUGUGGCCAAAAUUUCAGUGAAUGAAGGAUAUCUUACUGUUAGUGAAACACAAAAUGACUCAAGGUACGGUAACGAAGGGAUCGCGGUAAUUGGGUAUCAAAGCAAUGGGCAGUGGGAAAUACAAGACAUCUCUUUAGAUGGUUUUCAUUUAUCUGAAGAAUAUGGUAUGAAGAUGUGGUGGUCUAUCGAUAAUUUGACCUGUUCAGAGGCUACGAGCAAGCAAAGAAGUGAUACGUACGCAUGUCGUAGCAGCAAUAGCACUUGCAUUAUUGUCAACCAACUAGGCUACAAGAAUGUGACAAUGCUGCUCGGCUAUCGUUGCCAGUGCUCUAGAGGUUUUGAUGGAAAUCCAUACAUAUUGAAUGUAUGCCAAGGUAAACACACUACAACUGCCGGUACAAAUUGUUUUCCAACUGCACGGACGGUUUUCCAUGUACAUGAAAUGAUUGACUGAAACAUUGCAAUGAUAAAUCUAGCAAGAUUCAUGUCAUUCCAUUUGUUGGCAUCUUUAGCCAAAUAAUUUAUCCAAUUUUAGUGGAUUUAGGCUAAACAUGCUACUCAAAUCAUACAACUCAUUAACGUAUCUAAUUUUAGUUAUGUUCAUCACAUGAUGUAGAGACUCGAUAAUGAUCAUUUUACUUUAAAAAUUGUAAAUUAUGGUACAUUAUGUAAAUUGUCCUAGCCACGCACAAGUACUAUAUUUUUUAGCUAAUUCAUGAAAAUGACAACAUAGGGAUUGAUCCUUGUUUGAGCUAACACUGAAUAUCACAUGCAUAUGAUUAAUCUUAUAUAACAUUUUUUGGUAUUUUGAAACGUGUUCAUACAAACUUCCAGAAUAUAGUGGCAUUUAAAUACAACUAAACAAGUAAAUUCACCUCACGGAAAUAAUAUGCUAUUCACAAAUAUGAAAUCAAACAUAUGUGUAUAAUGUCAGGUUUCUACAUAGUUUGGUUGUUUACUAGCAUGUGCUCAGAAACAAUAAUGACCAAUCGUGUAUUUUGAAGUUCGCAUUGCUUCAUAGGGUAGUUUUAUUUUUUCUUGGAUGAGUGCUAGGCCAAGGUAACCUAGCUAUGGUUCUGCCAUUUCUACCAAAUAUUUUCAGGCAUCAUUUGUUGCUCACAUACCUACGAUUUACAGAUGUCAAUGAGUGUUUGUUGAUAAAUAUUUGUAACGGCCCCUGCCUAAAUUACCCUGGAGGCCAUAGUUGCAGCGAGUGCACCCAUGGAAAAGAGUUUGAUCCAAGACAACUCAAAUGUGUCAUGUCAACAAAGAGACGCAAUCUUCUCUUAGGUAUCGCAACUGGAAUUAGUUACGGCCUUGGUGCCAUUAUUCUUGUGCUAGGUGCAACAGUACUCAUCAACAAGUGGAAGAGAGGCAUACAGAAGAGAAUUCGAAGGGCAUACUUCAAGAAAAAUCAAGGCCUACUCCUGGAACAACUAAUAUUAGAUGAAAGUGCCACAAAGAAAACAAAGAUAUUCUCCUUGGAGGAAUUAGAUAAAGCAACCAACAACUUUGAUGUCAAUCGUAUUCUUGGUCGUGGAGGACAUGGCACAGUUUACAAAGGGAUUCUAUCCGAUCAACGUGUAGUGGCCAUAAAAAAGUCUAAGCUGGUGGAGCAAACUGAGAUUGACCAAUUUAUCAACGAGGUUGCCAUCCUGUCACAAAUCAUUCAUCGGAAUGUGGUCAAGCUUUUUGGUUGUUGUCUCGAAACAGAAGUGCCUUUGCUAGUUUAUGAGUUCAUAUCCAAUGGCACACUAUAUGAUCUUCUGCACAUUGAUGUAAGUGUUCAAUGCUUACUUUUAUGGGGUGAUCGCAUUAGGAUUGCUGUAGAAGCUGCAGGUGCUCUUCCUUAUCUCCACUCAGCCGCUGCGAUACCAAUUUUUCAUAGAGAUGUCAAAUCUUCCAAUAUACUCCUAGAUGACAACUUUACUACCAAGGUUUCUGACUUUGGUGCUUCGAGGUCUUUAUCACUUGAUCAGACACAUGUAGUGACAAUUGUGCAAGGAACUUUUGGUUACUUAGACCCCGAGUACUACCACACCGGGGAGCUAAGUGAGAAGAGUGAUGUUUAUAGCUUUGGAAUUAUACUGGUGGAGCUUCUAUGAGAAAGAAGCCAAUUUUUAUUAAUGAACAAGGUAUAAAACAAAGCUUGGCUCAUUACUUUGUGGAAGGACUUCAGCAGGGAGUUCUCAUGGAAAUCAUGGAUCCCCAAGUUGCAGAAGAAGCGAACCAGAAUGAAAUUGAUGACAUUGCCUCAGUUGCGGAAGCAUGCUUGAAAACCAAAGGAAGAGAAAGACCUACCAUGAAAGAGGUAGAAAUGAAAUUGCAACUCCUAAAAACUAGAAGAUUAAGGAGUCAACUUCCUCCCAUAAAUGAUGGAGAGAUCGAGUCACUUGGGUACCUAAAUGGUGCUAGCUCUCAUGCACAAAGCAACAGCAUUGUCAGUAAUGUUGGCUUAACACCUACAUGUAGCUCCGGAAAGUACAGUCUGGAGCAAGAGUUCUUGAACUCGGCUAGCUUGCCACGCUAGCGAAGCACACAAUGGGAUGAUCAUCUGCUUACUAAGCUUCUCAGGUGCAUGUUAGUUACCCUAGACGUACUUAUAUAGUAAAACUAUGUAAUAUACGUAGUUCCUUUUAGUGGGAGUAUACCAUGUAAAUUCCUGAAUUGUGUUUGUAGCUUAUCUUAUGUGUGUAAUCUCUUUAGACGACAACUCGUCGAAAUUAAGCUACGGUGGUGAAUAAAGGUAUUUCACCGUGUUUUUUUUAAAUUGUCGUACACAUUUCUCAUCGCUCAUAUUUUUUUUUUGAAACUGUCACCGGGGGGGAAAGACUCCCCACCUGAAUAUAUUUCAAAAGCAUUUUGUUACAAA
rnacentral:rRNA from 1 species